GACGAACGCUGGCGGCGUGCCUAAUACAUGCAAGUCGAGCGGACUUGAAGGAGCUUGCUCCUGAUAGUCAGCGGCGGACGGGUGAGUAACACGUGGGCAACCUGCCUGUAAGACUGGGAUAACUUCGGGAAACCGGAGCUAAUACCGGAUACGUUCUUUUCUCGCAUGAGAGAAGAUGGAAAGACGGUUUCGGCUGUCACGUACAGAUGGGCCCGCGGCGCAUUAGCUAGUUGGUGGGGUAAUGGCCCACCAAGGCGACGAUGCGUAGCCGACCUGAGAGGGUGAUCGGCCACACUGGGACUGAGACACGGCCCAGACUCCUACGGGAGGCAGCAGUAGGGAAUCUUCCGCAAUGGACGAAAGUCUGACGGAGCAACGCCGCGUGAGUGAAGAAGGUUUUCGGAUCGUAAAACUCUGUUGUCAGGGAAGAACAAGUACCAUAGUAACUGAUGGUACCUUGACGGUACCUGACCAGAAAGCCACGGCUAACUACGUGCCAGCAGCCGCAGUAAUAC
rnacentral:rRNA from 1 species